UGGGGAAUAUUGCACAAUGGGCGCAAGCCUGAUGCAGCGACGCCGCGUGGGGGAUGACGGCCUUCGGGUUGUAAACUCCUUUCGCUAGGGACGAAGCUUUUUGUGACGGUACCUAGAUAAGAAGCACCGGCUAACUACGUGCCAGCAGCCGCGGUAAUACGUAGGGUGCGAGCGUUGUCCGGAAUUACUGGGCGUAAAGGGCUCGUAGGUGGUUUGUCGCGUCGUCUGUGAAAUUCCGGGGCUUAACUCCGGGCGUGCAGGCGAUACGGGCAUAACUUGAGUACUGUAGGGCUAACUGGAAUUCCUGGUGUAGCGGUGAAAUACGCAGAUAUCAGGAGGAACACCGAUGGCGAAGGCAGGUUACUGGGCAGUUACUGACGCUGAGGAGCGAAAGCAUGGGUAGCGAACAGG
rnacentral:rRNA from 1 species